AUGGGAGAUAGGAAGCUCUCCCUGAUUCUAGACGCCAAGACUGAAAUUCCAGCUCCUGUGAGAUUUUACUCAGCCCAGUGUAGGGGAACGUGGAAGAUGGCUUGUUCUUGUUCCUCAUCUUGCCUCAGGCAGGGUAAGUGGAUACAUACAGAUGCAUCUCUGCUCUGUCAACCGAGAGGCCUCGCAGCAAUGAUAUUCCAGCACCAAUGAGCAAAAUUCGUCCGCAGGGUUUGCUAUAAAUACCAUCGUCCAAUAAAAGGAGUCACAAAUCA